UUAGAGGAAGUAAAAGUCGUAACAAGGUUUCCGUAGGUGAACCUGCGGAAGGAUCAUUAUCGUAGGGCUUUUGUCCUGUCGAGAUAGCGUCCUUGCCUAUUUUUUGGAGCACCGUUCGUUUCCUCAGCAGGCUUGCCUGCUACUGGGGACCCCUCAAAACUCUUUGUAAAUAUAGUAAUCGUCUGAAAAACAAACAAUAAAUCAAAACUUUCAACAAUGGAUCUCUUGGUUCUGGCAUCGAUGAAGAACGCAGCAAAAUGCGAUAAGUAGUGUGAAUUGCAGAAUUCAGUGAAUCAUCGAAUCUUUGAACGCACAUUGCGCCCUUUGGUAUUCCUUAGGGCAUGCCUGUUCGAGCGUCAUUUACACCCUCAAGCACAGCUUGGUGUUGGGCG
rnacentral:misc_RNA from 1 species